AACGAACACUGGCGGCAGGCUUAACACAUGCAAGUCGAACGCGUGUAGCAAUACACGAGUGGCGCACGGGUGAGUAACGCGUGGAUAUCUGCCUUUUGGUUCGGAAUAACUCCGGGAAACUGGAGCUAAUACCGGAUGGUUCCUUCGGGAUAAAGAUUUAUCGCCAAAAGAUGAGUCCGCGUACGAUUAGCUAGUUGGUGAGGUAAUGGCUCACCAAGGCGACGAUCGUUAGCUGGUCUGAGAGGACGAUCAGCCACACUGGGACUGAGACACGGCCCAGACUCCUACGGGAGGCAGCAGUGGGGAAUAUUGGACAAUGGGGGCAACCCUGAUCCAGCCAUGCCGCGUGAGUGAUGAAGGCCUUCGGGUUGUAAAGCUCUUUUGGCGGGGACGAUGAUGACGGUACCCGCAGAAUAAGCCCCGGCUAACUUCGCGCCAGCCGCCGCCGUAA
rnacentral:rRNA from 1 species